rnacentral:rRNA from 1 species
AAAAUGACUCUCGGCAACGGAUAUCUCGGCUCUUGCAUCGAUGAAGAACGUAGCGAAAUGCGAUACUUGGUGUGAAUUGCAGAAUCCCGUGAACCAUCGAGUCUUUGAACGCAAGUUGCGCCUGAAGCCAUUAGGUUGAAGGCACGUCUGCCUGGGUGUCACAC